GAUGAACGCUGGCGGCGUGCCUAAUACAUGCAAGUCGAGCGAACGGACGAGAAGCUUGCUUCUCUGAUGUUAGCGGCGGACGGGUGAGUAACACGUGGAUAACCUACCUAUAAGACUGGGAUAACUUCGGGAAACCGGAGCUAAUACCGGAUAAUAUUUUGAACCGCAUGGUUCAAAAGUGAAAGACGGUCUUGCUGUCACUUAUAGAUGGAUCCGCGCUGCAUUAGCUAGUUGGUAAGGUAACGGCUUACCAAGGCAACGAUGCAUAGCCGACCUGAGAGGGUGAUCGGCCACACUGGAACUGAGACACGGUCCAGACUCCUACGGGAGGCAGCAGUAGGGAAUCUUCCGCAAUGGGCGAAAGCCUGGCGGAGCAACGCCGCGUGAGUGAUGAAGGUCUUCGGAUCGUAAAACUCUAUUAUUAGGGAAGAACAUAUGUGUAAGUAACUGUGCACAUCUUGACGGUACCUAAUCAGAAAGCCACGGCUAACUACGUG
rnacentral:rRNA from 1 species